rnacentral:rRNA from 1 species
UACAGAGACUGCAAGCGUUAUUCGGAUUCACUGGGCGUAAAGGGUGCGCAGGUGGCCAAGUGUGUUAGGCGUGAAAGCCCGGGGCUUAACCCCGGAAUUGCACCUAAAACUACAUGGCUAGAGCAUUGGAGAGGGGAGCAGAAUUCACGGUGUAGCAGUGAAAUGCGUAGAUAUCGUAAGGAAUACCAGAGGCGAAGGCGGCUCCCUGGACAAUUGCUGACACUCAGGCACGAAAGCGUGGGGAGCAAAAGGG